AUACAGCUGGCAAGUCCCAAAUAGGACGAAAUGCGCGUCCUGAAU
rnacentral:hammerhead_ribozyme from 1 species